rnacentral:rRNA from 1 species
AUGGAUUGCAAAACAGAUUUCUUUGAUCAUUGUGAGGUUGAAACCUGGUCGCCGCUGUGGAUUAAAGAUUUUGUGCAGCAGCUUGGCUAUGAUCCAAGUAAAGUGCAGUGUUUCUGGUUACUUCCUGGAAUGAAUUUGGAUAAUGGACUGAGAAUUAUUGAUAGAGAUGCAGACUGUCUUAGUAUGACUGCUGUUGUGCCAAAGUUCAAGCAUUUCAAGUUGUACAUGGAUCAUGGUGAUAUUUAUAGCGAGCUGAAUAUGGAUGACAUAUGCAUAAUUGGCUCACCUACAAUGCCUGAUAUCAUGAGUCCUGUGAAGCCAUAA